CCAAUAGCGUAUAUUAAAGUUGUUGCAGUUAAAAAGCUCGUAGUUGAAUUUUGGGCCUGGUCGGGCGGUCCGCCUUUUGGUGAGUACUGUCAUUGUGCCGGGUCUCUUUUUCUGGUGAGCUAGUGUUCUCUUCACUGGGUGCGCUAGGGAAUCAGGACUGUUACCUUGAAAAAAUUAGAGUGUUUAAAGCGGGCAUUUGCUUGAAUACAUUAGCAUGGAAUAAUGAAAUAGGACGGCGUUUCUAUUUUGUUGGUUAUGGGGACACCGUAAUGAUUAAUAGGGAUAGUUGGGGGCAUUAGUAUUCAAUUGUCAGAGGUGAAAUUCUUGGAUUUAUUGAAGACUAACUACUGCGAAAGCAUUUGCCAAGGAUGUUUUCAUUAAUCAAGAACGAAAGUUAGGGGAUCGAAGACGAUCAGAUACCGUCGUAGUCUUAACCAUAAACUAUGCCGACUAGGAAUCGGGCGAUGUUAUUUUAAUGACUCGCUCGGCACCUUAUG
rnacentral:rRNA from 1 species